GAUGAACGCUAGCGGCAGGCCUAACACAUGCAAGUCGAGGGAGGAGCUUUCGGGCCUCGACCGGCGUACGGGUGCGUAACGCGUAUACAAUCUGCCUUUCACAUAGGGAUAGCCCGAAGAAAUUUGGAUUAAUACCUAAUGGUAUAUAGGAGUGGCAUCACAUUUAUAUUAAAGCUGAGGCGGUGAAAGAUGAGUAUGCGUUCUAUUAGCUAGUUGGAGAGGUAACGGCUCCCCAAGGCGACGAUAGAUAGGGGUUCUGAGAGGGAUAUCCCCCACACUGGUACUGAGAUACGGACCAGACUCCUACGGGAGGCAGCAGUGAGGAAUAGUGGACAAUGGUCGGAAGACUGAUCCAGCCAUGCCGCGUGCAGGAAGACGGCCUUAUGGGUUGUAAACUGCUUUUGCAGGGGAAGAAUAAGGACUACGAGUAGUUUGAUGACGGUACUCUGCGAAUAAGCAUCGGCUAACUCCGUG
rnacentral:rRNA from 1 species